rnacentral:rRNA from 1 species
AUUGAACGCUGGCGGCAUGCGUAACACAUGCAAGUCGAACGGUGUUUGGUGCUUGCACCAGACAUAGUGGCGGACGGGUGAGUAAUGCGUAGGAAUCUGUCUUAGAGAGGGGGACAACCCGAGGAAACUUGGGCUAAAACCGCAUAUUCUCGAGAGAGGAAAGCAGGGGACCGGAAACGGCCUUGUGCUCUAAGGUGAGCCUACGUCGGAUUAGCUAGUUGGUAGGGUAAAAGCCUACCAAGGCGAUGAUCUGUAGCUGGUCUGAGAGGACGGACAGCCACACUGGGACUGAGACACGGCCCAGACUCCUACGGGAGGCAGCAGUGGGGGAAUAUUGGACAAUGGGGGGAACCCUGAUCCAGCGAUGCCGCGUGUGUGAAGAAGGCCUGCGGGUUGUAAAGCACUUUCAGUGGGAAAGAGAAGCGUCUUGUGAAUAAUGGGACGUGGAGACGUUACUCACAGAAGAAGCACCGGCUAACUCUGUGCCAGCAGCCGCGGUAAUUUGAG